UACAUGGGGUGCAAACGUUGCUCGGAAUUAUUGGGCGUAAAGCGCACGUAGGCGGUUUGUUAAGUCGGAUGUGAAAUCCCUCGGCUCAACUGAGGAAGUGCAUCCGAAACUGGCAGGCUUGAGUACUAAAGAGGGUCGCGGAAUUCCCGGUGUAGAGGUGAAAUUCGUAGAUAUUGGGAAGAACACCGGUGGCGAAGGCGGCUCACUGGCUCAUUACUGACGCUCAGGCGCGAUAGCGUGGGGAUCAAACAGG
rnacentral:rRNA from 1 species